rnacentral:lncRNA from 1 species
UUACUGUGAGGAGAAGGCAAAGAAGUGUAAGCUUCCCAUUGCGUAUAAGCCUCUGGAAUUGCCGCGCACGGCGGGGACUGAGAACUCGAUCUAGCAUAAUGAGUUUCUUGCUAAGCACCCGAACUGGGUGGCAAAUGGGAUUUCUGGAUUCGUCCUCAAGGGAUUCAAAGGAAUAAUUUAAGAAUGGGAUUCGGUAUUUUCUUCAUAAAAACUUGAGGGAUUAUUGAAGGAAAUCGGAUCUAUGGAAGACAAUAUGAAGGUUAAUUACCAAAAUGAGAUGGGAUUUUUGUACAACUGGAAAAUUUUCUGUCGGUGGAGAGAUGGAAGGUACAUUCAACGCAAAAUGCAGAGAGAGAUUUAGACAAUAAUUAAUCUUAAAUUAGGAAGAACUUAAAUCUCGGCCCCCAACGUAUUCUCAUGGAAACAAAUUGACCCUUAACUUGUCACAUAUAGCAAUUUUGUUCUGAAUUAUUCGUUGCAACUUUAUAAUUCAUCUCAAAUGAUUAAAAGUUGGAAAUCAUCCAAAUUUUCACUAAAUUCAUAUUUGGGAUCCAAUUUCUC